UACAGAGGGUGCAAGCGUUGAUCGGAAUUACUGGGCGUAAAGCGCGCGUAGGUGGUUUGUUACGUUGGAUGUGAAAGCCCCGGGCUCAACCUGGGAACUGCAUCCAGUACUGGCAGGCUAGAGUACGGUAGAGGGUGGUGGAAUUUCCUGUGUAGCGGUGAAAUGCGUAGAUAUAGGAAGGAACACCAGUGGCGAAGGCGACCACCUGGAGUGUUACUGACACUCAGGUGCGAAAGCGUGGGGAGCAAACAGG
rnacentral:misc_RNA from 1 species